GGGAAUUGGAAGAGGACACUGAACACAGGGAAUGAACUUAAGAACUUGAGCUAAACAGAUGCGAUGAGAAUGGACAAGCAGGUUAGGUUAGGUACGUUAGGUUAGGUUAGGUUUGGUACACGUUAGGUUAGGUUAGGUUAGGUUUGCAUGCAUUGGAAGAGUUCUGAAAGGGUGAACACAGGGAAUGACCUAAAGAACUUGAGCUAAACAGAUGCGAUGAGAAUGGACAAGCAGGUUAGGUUAGGUACGUUAGGUUAGGUUAGGUUUGGUACACGUUAGGUUAGGUUAGGUUAGGUUUGCAUGCAUUGGAAGACCUCUGAAAGGGAAUUGGAAGAGGACACUGAACACAGGGAAUGAACAAAAGAACUUGAGCUAAACCGAUGUGAUGAGAAUGGACAAACAGGUUAGGUUAGGUUAGGUUAGGUUAGGUUUGCAUGCAUUGGAAGGGAGGGUACACUGUAUAUAGUGAAUGAACAUACUAUACACUGGAGGCAGAGAAAUGGAACGAGGAAACGGGUCAGUUUAGGUAAAGUUUGCGCAAACAAUAAAAGUAUACACUCUGAGUAAACAAAAAACAGCAACUGCCUAAAAACAAAACUAGAAUGCAAACAAACUCAUCUAAGCACAAAAGAAGAGUGGACGCAACAGACUGGCUGAGCGUAGAAAGGCAAACAAGAGAGCAAACAAAAGGGCAAACAAUCUAAGUAAACAAAAAACAGCAGAUUAGCUAAAAACAAAACUAGAAUGCAAACAAACUAGCAAACAAAAUAAGAGUGCACACAACAGACUGGCUGAGUGUAGAAAGGCAAACCAGAGAGCAAACAAAAGGGCAAACAAUCUAAGUAAACAAAAAACAGAUUAGCUAAAAACAAAACUACAAUGCAAACAAACUAGCCAAAACCUAAAAUAAGAGUGCACACAACAGACUGGCUGAGUGUAGAAAGGCAAACAAGAGAGCAAACAGGAGGUCAAACUAUUUCAGAAAACAAAAAAACAGCAGAUUAGCUAAAAACAAAACUAGAAUGCAAACAAACUCACAUAUGCACAAAAUAAGAGUGCACACAACAGACUGGCUGAAUGUAGAAAGGCAAACCAGAGAGCAAACAGGAGGGCAAACUAUCUUAGGAAACGAUAAACAACAUUGACCAUAAAUAAAAGCAGGUCAGGUUAGGUUAGGUUUGUAUGUAUCGUAAAUUUUGAAGGGGAGGGAAGGAAGCUCUCAACACUCAACCACAACUACAAAACAAGUGAAAAUCUAACUACGCAAACAAUCUAACUACAAAACAAAAGUGGAAACAAUCUAACUACGAAAUCAAGCAGGUUGGGUUAGGUUAGGUUAGGUUUGUAUGUAUCGGAAAUUUUGAAGGGGAGGGAAGGAAGCUCUCAACACUCAACCACAACUACAAAAUAAAAGUGAAAAUCUAACUUCGCAAACAACCUAACUACAAAACAAAAGUGGAAACAAUCUAACUACGAAAUCAAGCAGGUUGGGUUGGGUUAGGUUAGGUUAGGUUUGUAUGUAUCGGAACUUUUGAAGGGGAAGGAAGGAAGCUCUCAACACUCAACCACAACUACAAAAUAAAAGUGAAAAUCUAACUACAAAACAAAAAUGGACACAAUCUAACCACAAAAUCUAAGUGGGAACAAUCUAACUACGAAAACAACCCAACUACAAAAUCCCGGCUGGUCAAACAUACAAAAGGCUGCCUCUAGACUGACUACCUCUACCCCCUUGCACUGAAGCAGCUGGAUGAUAGGAAAGGAACCCGUCCAGACUUUGAAAAUUGGUGUGCAGAGGCUCCAGACACAAGCCAUGCCGGAUGCUACCUGGAAGACUUCUGGAAGGGAAUGAAGGUUUUUAUUUAUUUUUUUUUUUUUACGUUGAUUGCCUAUUGCGCCGGUAGGCAUCUUCCCGGUGGGGCCUGAUGGUCGGCCCAAGGCUUCUUCCAGGUGGGGCCUGAUGGUCGGCCCAAGGCUUCUUCCAGGUGGGGCCUGAUGGUCGGCCCAGCCCGUUCUGGCGCAGGCGAGUGUUUAUAGUGGCGCCAUCUUGCAUUGGCUCAUGCUGUCCCCCGGAACUCGUUCUUGAUUCGCUUGGACGGCUUCCUCUAGAGUCCGGGUUGAUGGGUGGUCUUCAGGACAGCAUGUGGGUAGUUUUAAGCCACUCGGCGGUGACUGAAAAAUCCGAGUGGUAGCGUGGGGAUUCGAACCCGCGUCGUCCAUCACGCGAUGAAUGUGGGCCCAGUACGCUACCACCUACGCCACCGCCUGCGUGGAUUAAUAGAGAAGUUGGACUGGAUAUUCAAGAGACGUCGAGACCACUGAACGUAGGAAAUAAACGACAUAACCAGAGUACAGACGCUACAGAUACAAGCCCUACCAGUUGCAACUUGGAAGAUCUCUGGAAGGGAAUGAAGGUUUGCAUGGAUUAGUAAAGAAGUUGAACCAGAAAUGCAAAAAUCAAGACCACUGAACGCAGGAAAUAAACGACAUAACCAGAGUACAGAGGCUCAAGAUGUAUGCCCUGCUUGAUGCUACCUGGAAGACCUCUGAAAGGGAAUGAAGGUUACCGUGGAUUAGCGAAGAAGACCAACCGGAAAUGCGAGAAAAGUCGAGAUCACUGAACUCUGGAAAUGCUGACGAACUGAUAAGCGACAUUGACCUCUCUUUUGACAUCUCAUUCUGUUUUCUUUUGUUGGAGAAGUGGCUUAAUGUUUUUUUUUUGUUUCUCUUUUCUUGUUUCUUGCCCUUCAGAUGUGUUUCGCGACUCGGAGAAGUUGUAAGUGAUAGGAAGAGAGCUUCACGUUACAUAAAGAUUAGAUUAGGUUUGGUAAGGUACAGCUUGAAGCAACACAAAUAAUAUGGACGAGAAAUGGACAGUUUACAGAUUAGAUUAAGUUUGGUUAGGUACAGUUUGUGAAGGUUUGGUAGCGACGCAAAUAACAUGGACGAGGAAUGGACUCUAUAGAUCAGAUUAGGUUUGGUUACGUACAGCUUGAAGCAACGCAAAUAAUAUGGACGAGAAAUGGACAGUUUAUAAAUUAGAUUAGAUUUGGUUAGGUACAGUUUGUGAAGGUUUGGUAGCGACGCAAAUAACAUGGACGAGGAAUGGACUCUAUAGAUCAGAUUAGGUUUGGUUAUGUACAGCUUGAAGCAACACAAAUAAUAUGGAAGAGAAAUGGACAGUUUAUAGAUUAGAUUAAGUUUGGUUAGGUACAGCUUGCGAAGGUUUGGUAGCGACGCAAAUAACAUGGACGAGGAAUGGACUCUAUAGAUCAGAUUAGGUUUGGUUACGUACAGUUUGAGGCAACGCAAAUAAUAUGGACGAGAAAUGGACAGUUUAUAAAUUAGAUUAGAUUUGGUUAGGUACAGUUUGCGAAGGUUUGGUAGCGACGCAAAUAACAUGGACGAGGAAUGGACUCUAUAGAUCAGAUUAGGUUUGGUUACGUACAGUUUGAGGCAACACAAAUACUAUGGACAAGAAAUGUACACUUUAUAGAUUAGAUUAGGUUUGGUUAUAUACAGUUUGCAGAGAUCAGGGCUCAAUGGAAACAGUACGGACAAGAAAUGGACACGAUAGAUCACAUUAGGUUUGACUAAGUACAGUUUCAGGCAUAGAAUGGACACAAAACGCCCUGGCUGUAGAUAAGAUUAGCUUCAGUUUGGUACAGCAUGAGGUUAUUAGGCAGAACGCAAAUAACAUGGACUGUCUGUAAAUUAGAUUAGUUUUGGCAAAGUACAGCUUGAGACCAAGAGGCAGAAAUGCGAAGGAUUAAAGUGCGAACAUUCUGAGUGCACAAAACUGCGAGUGGCUGCACCAAAGACGCACAGAAGCUUGGCUAUCACGAGUACUAAAGACUAACUACCUCUACCCCCGUGUGCUUUAGCAGCUGAACGAGAGGGAAGGGACCCGCCCACACUCUGUAAAGGAGCGCGCGGAGGCUCCAGAGAUAUGUCGCUCCAGCUAUUAUUUGGAAGACCUCUGAAAGGGAAGGAAGGGACACUGAACACAGGGAAUGAACGAAAGAACUUGAGCUACACGAAUGCGGAUGAGGAUGGACGAGAAGUUUAGGUUAGGUUAGGUUAGAUCAGGACGGAAUGCAUCGGAACUUCUGAAAGGAAAGGAAAGGAACUCAACACAGGGAAUGAACGAAAGAACUUGAGCUACACGAAUGUGGAUGAGGGUGGACGAGAAGGUUAGGUUAGGUAAGGUUAGGUUAGGUAAGGUUAGGUUAGAUUAGGUCGGAAUGCAUCGGAACUUCGGAAAGGAAAGGAAAGGAACUCAACACAGGGAAUGAACGAAAGAACUUGAGCUACAGAGAAUGGACUGGAAGGUUAGGUUAGGUUAGGUUAGGUUAGGUUAGGUUAGGUUAGGUUAGGUUAGGUCAGGUUAGGUUAGGUCAGGUCUGCAAAUAUUGGAACUUCUGAAAGGAAAGGAGCGGGACUCAGCACAAAGAAUGGACGAACUAAAGAACUGUAGCUAAAGAGAUGAAGGUGGAAAUCGACAAGCAGGUCAGAUCAGGUCAAGUUAAACCAGAAGUGCGAUAAACGACAACAUAACCAGAACCAGAGACAAAAUAGGUAGCAAUGUGGUGGAAUGGAACAAAAAAGGACCAUAAACCAAAAAAACAAAAAACAAAACAAAUGGAGGAUAAAUGAAAAAAUCCCCACUUGACAUUACGCCUUCCCAACAAUAAUAAAAACUAAUAAUAACACGCAUGAAAUAAACAAAAUAAACAGAACUUAAUAAUAAACAAACCAAAGGGAAAAAACAACAACAAAAGCCUUACUAAAUAGCCUAGCCUACUCUGUUCGCGCUAACUCGGCGAAUAGGCCACGCCCCCUUUUCUUUCCGCGGUUGUUUACGCGCGCUCUCGAAACACAAAGAAAAACAGAAAAAAACAGGAACACACAGUAAAAAGGAGAAACACACACACACACACACACACACACACACACA